UUUACUACAGGAUCCAAACUGUCAACUCAAGACUCUGAGGUUUUUGGGUCCUGCUGCAGAUGAAGGCUGUCAGUAUGUGACUGGAAUUGUGGGUAAAAACCCGUUACUCCUGAGAGAGCUGGAUCUGAGUGAACAUAAACUAGGAGACAAAGGAGUGAAUAAGAUCUCUGCUCUACUGCAGGAUAAACACUGUACACUCAACACACUGAUUCUGAAGAAAAACUGUGAUCACAGAAGGAGGGUGUCAUGUUCUGGCUGCAGCUCUAAAUUC